CCCUGUAUUCGAAAGUGAUCAUGGGCUACCCGUGCCCUGGUCAUUGAUAGUGCAGGGAGAGGAAUUGCUGAAAGCGUUUCCCCGU
rnacentral:snoRNA from 1 species